AAGGCUUUCGGGUCGUAAAACUCUGUUGUUANGGAAGAACAAGUGCUAGUUGAAUAAGCUGGCACCUUGACGGUACCUAACCAGAAAGCCACGGCUAACUACGUGCCAGCAGCCGCGGUAAUACGUAGGUGGCAAGCGUUAUCCGGAAUUAUUGGGCGUAAAGCGCGCGCAGGUGGUUUCUUAAGUCUGAUGUGAAAGCCCACGGCUCAACCGUGGAGGGUCAUUGGAAACUGGGAGACUUGAGUGCAGAAGAGGAAAGUGGAAUUCCAUGUGUAGCGGUGAAAUGCGUAGAGAUAUGGAGGAACACCAGUGGCGAAGGCGACUUUCUGGUCUGUAACUGACACUGAGGCGCGAAAGCGUGGGGAGCAAACAGGAUUAGAUACCCUGGUAGUCCACGCCGUAAACGAUGAGUGCUAAGUGUUAGAGGGUUUCCGCCCUUUAGUGCUGAAGUUAACGCAUUAAGCACUCCGCCUGGGGAGUACGGCCGCAAGGCUGAAACUCAAAUGAAUUGACGGGGG
rnacentral:rRNA from 1 species